AAGUUUUCCCCUGCUUUCUGCUGCUGCCAUUUCUGGUGCUUGAAAAUUCUCUUAUUGCCCACCCUUCCUCUGAUGACAGCUGUAGAACCAGGCUUCCUCGUCAAAAUUAUCCUCUGAAGUCACAGCAUUUUCAAUUCAGUUCUAUGACAUCUGGAGGUUUAAGUACAUUUUUGUCAAGAAAGACACUGAAUUUUAAAAGAGAAUACCUGAUUGACCUAGCGGGUUGCAGUAGGAUGGCUGCACAAGAAGAAAAACUCUGAAGCAUUUACUCCCAACUUAAAGAUCCAAACAUGUGGUGCUCAUCUCUAAGCUCAUCCUGAGAAUCAAAUGUCCACCAUGUCGUCGAGAAGCCUGGAAGUUGCACUCGGAAUACUGUGAAAAUCCUUGUUACUUGCUGUACUCAGAUGUGUAGCAGUGGGAGGAUAGCAUUAUCUGUUCCACCAUCUGCCAGGGAGUGGACUGUAGGUAUAACACUGGCUAUUAGUGGAAACAACAGCAUGCAAUC